rnacentral:rRNA from 1 species
AAUAGAUACCCGGGUAGUCCACGCCGUAAACGAUGAGUGCUAAGUGUUAGGGGGUUUCCGCCCCUUAGUGCUGCAGCUAACGCAUUAAGCACUCCGCCUGGGGAGUACGGUCGCAAGACUGAAACUCAAAGGAAUUGACGGGGGCCCGCACAAGCGGUGGAGCAUGUGGUUUAAUUCGAAGCAACGCGAAGAACCUUACCAGGUCUUGACAUCCCACUGACCGCUAUGGAGACAUAGUUUUCCCUUCGGGGACAGUGGUGACAGGUGGUGCAUGGUUGUCGUCAGCUCGUGUCGUGAGAUGUUGGGUUAAGUCCCGCAACGAGCGCAACCCUUGAUCUUAGUUGCCAUCAUUUAGUUGGGUACUCUAAGGUGACUGCCGGUGACAAACCGGAGGAAGGUGGGGAUGACGUCAAAUCAUCAUGCCCCUUAUGACCUGGGCUACACACGUGCUACAAUGGACGGUACAAACGGUUGCCAACCCGCGAGGGGGAGCUAAUCCGGAUAAAACCGUUCUCAGUUCGGAUUGUAGGCUGCAACUCGCCUACA